rnacentral:rRNA from 1 species
AUUGAACGCUAGCGGGAUGCCUUACACAUGCAAGUCGAACGGCAGCACGGACUUCGGUCUGGUGGCGAGUGGCGAACGGGUGAGUAAUGUAUCGGAACGUGCCUAGUAGCGGGGGAUAACUUCGCGAAAGCGUAGCUAAUACCGCAUACGCCCUACGGGGGAAAGCAGGGGAUCGCAAGCCCUUCCCCUAUUAGAGCGGCGAUAUCGGAUUAGCUAGUUGGUGGGGUAAACGGCUCACCAACGGGGACGAUCCGUAGCCUGCUUUGAGAGGACGACCAGCCACACUGGGGAUGAGACACCGGCCCAGACUCCUACGGGAGGCAGCAGUGGGGAAUUUGGACAAUGGGGGAAACCCUGAUCCAGCCAUCCCGCGUGUGCGAUGAAGGCCUUCGGGUUGUAAAGCACUUUUGGCAGGAAAGAAACGUCUGGGCUAAUACCCCGUGAAACUGACGGCUACCUGCAGAAUAAGCAGGGGCUAACUACGUCAGGCAGCCGCGGUAAUACGUAGGGUGCAAGCGUAAUCGGAAUUACUGGGCGUAAAGCGUGCGCAGGCGGUUCGGAAAGAAAGAUGUGAAAUCCCAGAGUAACUUUGGAACUGCAUUUUAACUACCAGCCUAGAGUGUGUCAGAGGGAGGUGGAAUUCCGCGUGUAGCAGUGAAAUGCGUAGAUAUGCGGAGGAACACGUAUGGCGAAGGCAGCCUCCUGGGAUAACACUGACGCUCAUGCACGAAAGCGUGGGGAGCAAACAGGAUUAGAUACCCUGGUAGUCCACGCCCUAAACGAUGUCAACUAGCUGUUGGGGCCUUCGGGCCUUGGUAGCGCAGCUAACGCGUGAAGUUGACCGCCUGGGGAGUACGGUCGCAAGAUUAAAACUCAAAGGAAUUGCGGGGACCCGCACAACGCGGUGGAUGAUGUGGAUUAAUUCGAUGCAACGCGAAAAACCUUACCUACCCUUGACAUGUCUGGAAUUCCGAAGAGAUUUGGAAGUGCUCGCAAGAGAACCGGAACACAGGUGCUGCAUGG